CCGAGUUUACAACUCCCAAACCCCUGUGAACAUACCAAUUGUUGCCUCGGCGGAUCAGCCCGCUCCCGGUAAAACGGGACGGCCCGCCAGAGGGCCCCUAAACUCUGUUUCUAUAUGUAACUUCUGAGUAAAACCAUAAAUAAAUCA
rnacentral:misc_RNA from 1 species